rnacentral:tRNA from 1 species
GUCAGCGUGGUGUACUGGUUUGAGCAUUGGACUAGGACUCUGGAGACCAGGGUUCAAAUCCCUGUUUGGCCA